UUUUUCCUUUCUUUCCAAUCUGCUUCAGUCCAACUUCCGAGCCAUCGGCGGGAGAAGAAAAAAUAGAGGACAAUUCGGAGCCAAAUUCCCUGCUGAUGAACACUCCGGGGUUCGGGGCUGGAGACGACCCCCCUUCUAGAAGCGCACGCGGAGUAUUUCCUCUUUUUUCUCAAUGAACAAGAGGCCGAAGCGCCAACGGUUGGCACUUACGAUUGUGGAUUUAUAACACAGGAUAUUUUAAAUAAUACAAAUGAACAGCCAGAUGGAGAGGCACAUCAGACAAGGUCUGGAAGGAUUUCAAGCACAGGAGCUUCUGUCCCCGUGAAGUUGUGGUAAGUCAUCCUCCUCACAUGGGAAUGUGUUCAUCCAACUGGAAGCUCUUCAAAUCCCUUACUUUUGGAAUUUUUGUGGAGGCUUCAUCAUGUAGGCAUGACUAUUAACUACAUAUCUAGCCCUUUUCCCUUCUCCAGAGAAUAGAAGAUGGGGCUAAAAGUUGUAAGCUUUUAAUCAUAGUUUGGUCUUUCUGGUGAUCAGCCCCAUCCAGGAGAUGACCAAGAGAUGCCCCAGUAAAAUGAAAGACACUCCUAUGGCCUAGGAAAUUCCAAAGCGUUUAAGAGCUCUGUGUCAGAUACUCGGAUCACUAAGGAAAUU
rnacentral:lncRNA from 1 species